rnacentral:rRNA from 1 species
CAGCCGCCGCGGUAAUACGUAGGUGGCAAGCGUUGUCCGGAUUUAUUGGGCGUAAAGCGAGCGCAGGCGGUUUCUUAAGUCUGAUGUGAAAGCCCCCGGCUCAACCGGGGAGGGUCAUUGGAAACUGGGAGACUUGAGUGCAGAAGAGGAGAGUGGAAUUCCAUGUGUAGCGGUGAAAUGCGUAGAUAUAUGGAGGAACACCAGUGGCGAAGGCGGCUCUCUGGUCUGUAACUGACGCUGAGGCUCGAAAGCGUGGGGAGCGAACAGGAUUAGAUACCCCCGUAGUCCCUGUCUCUUAUAC